CGGUUUACGCUGUCACUUAUAGAUGGGCCCGCGGCGCAUUAGCUAGUUGGUGAGGUAAUGGCUCACCAAGGCGACGAUGCGUAGCCGACCUGAGAGGGUGAUCGGCCACACUGGGACUGAGACACGGCCCAGACUCCUACGGGAGGCAGCAGUAGGGAAUCUUCCGCAAUGGACGAAAGUCUGACGGAGCAACGCCGCGUGAACGAAGAAGGCCUUCGGGUCGUAAAGUUCUGUUGUUAGGGAAGAACAAGUACCAGAGUAACUGCUGGUACCUUGACGGUACCUAACCAGAAAGCCACGGCUAACUACGUGCCAGCAGCCGCGGUAAUACGUAGGUGGCAAGCGUUGUCCGGAAUUAUUGGGCGUAAAGCGCGCGCAGGUGGUUCCUUAAGUCUGAUGUGAAAGCCCACGGCUCAACCGUGGAGGGUCAUUGGAAACUGGGGAACUUGAGUGCAGAAGAGGAAAGUGGAAUUCCAA
rnacentral:rRNA from 1 species